CAAACCGACACAGGUGGUCAGGUAGAGAAUACCAAGGCGCUUGAGAGAACUCGGGUGAAGGAACUAGGCAAAAUGGUGCCGUAACUUCGGGAGAAGGCACGCUGGCAUGUAGGUGAAGUCCUUCGCGGAUGGAGCUGAAGCCAGUCGAAGAUACCAGCUGGCUGCAACUGUUUAAUAAAAACACAGCACUGUGCAAACACGAAAGUGGACGUAUACGGUGUGACGCCUGCCCGGUGCUGGAAGGUUAAUUGAUGGGGUCAGCCGCAAGGCGAAGCUCUUGAUCGAAGCCCCAGUAAACGGCGGCCGUAACUAUAACGGUCCUAAGGUAGCGAAAUUCCUUGUCGGGUAAGUUCCGACCUGCACGAAUGGCGUAAUGAUGGCCAGGCUGUCUCCACCCGAGACUCAGUGAAAUUGAACUCGCUGUGAAGAUGCAGUGUACCCGCGGCAAGACGGAAAGACCCCGUGAACCUUUACUAUAGCUUGACACUGAACAUUGAGCCUUGAUGUGUAGGAUAGGUGGGAGGCUUUGAAGCGUGGACGCCAGUCUGCGUGGAGCCAUCCUUGAAAUACCACCCUUUAAUGUUUGAUGUUCUAACUCGGCCCCAUAAUCUGGGGUGAGGACAGUGUCUGGUGGGUAGUUUGACUGGGGCGGUCUCCUCCCAAAGAGUAACGGAGGAGCACGAAGGUUAGCUAAUCACGGUCGGACAUCGUGAGGUUAGUGCAAAGGCAUAAGCUAGCUUGACUGCGAGAGUGACGGCUCGAGCAGGUACGAAAGUAGGUCUUAGUGAUCCGGUGGUUCUGAAUGGAAGGGCCAUCGCUCAACGGAUAAAAGGUACUCCGGGGAUAACAGGCUGAUACCGCCCAAGAGUUCAUAUCGACGGCGGUGUUUGGCACCUCGAUGUCGGCUCAUCACAUCCUGGGGCUGAAGUAGGUCCCAAGGGUAUGGCUGUUCGCCAUUUAAAGUGGUACGCGAGCUGGGUUUAGAACGUCGUGAGACAGUUCGGUCCCUAUCUGCCGUGGGCGUUGGAAGAUUGAGAGGGGUUGCUCCUAGUACGAGAGGACCGGAGUGAACGCACCACUGGUGUUCGGGUUGUCAUGCCAAUGGCAUUGCCCGGUAGCUAAGUGCGGAAAAGAUAAGCGCUGAAAGCAUCUAAGCGCGAAACUUGCCUCAAGAUGA
rnacentral:rRNA from 1 species